CACGUAGGGCGCAAGCGUUGUCCGGAAUUAUUGGGCGUAAAGAGCUCGUAGGCGGUCUGUUGCGUCUGCUGUGAAAACUCGGGGCUUAACCCCGGGCCUGCAGUGGAUACGGGCAGACUAGAGGUAGGUAGGGGAGAAUGGAAUUCCCGGUGUAGCGGUGAAAUGCGCAGAUAUCGGGAGGAACACCGGUGGCGAAGGCGGUUCUCUGGUCCUUACCUGACGCUGAGGAGCGAAAGCGUGGGGAGCGAACAGG
rnacentral:rRNA from 1 species